rnacentral:rRNA from 1 species
AAGUUCGAAUGGGGAGAUUCAUCGUCAGCGAUGCUGGCUUCGCGGUGGUUCGUGAUGUGCCGUGUCUUGGUACCCCUCGUGGGUCCGCACGUACACGCGAUCGUCGCGUUGCGUCUGGCAUUCUCGUCGGCGUGCACUUCUCCCCUAGUAGGACGUCGCGACCCGUUGGGUGCCGGUCUUAAACGGCCCGGGUGGAAGACUGUCGCACCGUUACCAUGCGCGUGCGGCAGACCCCCGGUUCGCCAGACACCCGGCUGCCCGGCGGUAAGCAUCGAUGGUAUCGGGCCGCAAAAUCUCGAACUGCGUCGGGCCCAUGUUGUCCGCGGUGUCAGUUGUCUCACGGUGGUAUUCACGGACCUAGUGCCGGCCCCGUGCCUGACCCGCGAGUUGUAUAGACGGAUGGUGUCCUCCGACAGGCCACGCAAUGCGCGCGCGGUGCCGCGCAAUACACGAUACCGGUCGGCGACGCUAUUGCUUUGGGUAAUCUCAGGACCCGUCUUGAAACACGGACCAAGGAGUCUAACAUGUACGCGAGUCAUUGGGACUCUGCAAACCUAAAGGCGAAAUGAAAGUGAAGAUCUGUCAGACGCCGUGCGUGUGUGCGUGCUUCGGUACGUCGACGCGCGCGCGUACGGUGCUCGCGACACGAUCAAGGGAGGAUGGGUCGCGUUACGAUGCGACUCCGCACUCCCGGGGCGUCUCGCUCUCAUUCGAGAAGAGGCGCACCUAGAGCGUACACGUUGGGACCCGAAAGAUGGUGAACUAUGCCUGGUCAGGACGAAGUCAGGGGAAACCCUGAUGGAGGUCCGUAGCGAUUCUGACGUGCAAAUCGAUCGU